UACGAAGGGGGCUAGCGUUGCUCGGAAUGACUGGGCGUAAAGCGUGCGCAGGCGGUUCGUUGUGUCGGCGGUGAAAGCCCCGGGCUUAACCUGGGAAUGGCCGUUGAAACUGGCGAACUGGAGUGUGGCAGAGGGGGGUGGAAUUCCGCGUGUAGCAGUGAAAUGCGUAGAGAUGCGGAGGAACACCGAUGGCGAAGGCAGCCCCCUGGGUCAAAACUGACGCUCAUGCACGAAAGCGUGGGGAGCAAACAGG
rnacentral:rRNA from 1 species